rnacentral:misc_RNA from 1 species
AACGCACAUUGCGCCCCUUGGUAUUCCGAAGGGCAUGUCUGUUUGAGCGUCAUUUCCACACUCGUCCGCUCCGGUUUUGUCCCGGCAGCGGUGCGGUCUUGGGGCGCCCGUCCGGUCAGAACUUCUGACCCGGCCUGGUCCCUUAAAUUUGUGGUCCACUACCGCUUUGGCCUGAACGAACCUGAUAACUUUUUAUUGGAACGUGAAGACCUGCGCGUUGGCAGAAUCAUAAACAACCCUAAGGCUUGACCUCAGAUCAGACAAGGAUACCCGCUGAACUUAA